GCUCGGAAUCACUGGGCGUAAAGGGCGCGUAGGCGGGCUAUCAAGUCCGGGGUGAAAUCCUCCAGCUCAACUGGAGAACUGCCUCGGAUACUGAUGGUCUCGAGGAGGAUAGGGGCACACGGAACUGUGGGUGGAGCGGUGAAAUGCGUUGAUAUCCAUAGGAACUCCGGUGGCGAAAGCGGUGUGCUGGAUCCUUUCUGACGCUGAGGCGCGAAAGCCAGGGGAGCAAACGGG
rnacentral:rRNA from 1 species